rnacentral:rRNA from 1 species
GGUACUCAGUUCGGAUUGAAGGCUGAAAUUCGCCUUCCAUGAAGCUGGAAUUGCUAGUAAUGGCAGGUCAGCAUACUGCCGUGAAUACGUUCCCGGGCCUUGUACACACCGCCCGUCACACCAUGAGAGUUGGGAAUACCCGAAGCCUGUGAGCUAACUGUAAGGAGGCAGCAGUCGAAGGUAGAAUCAAUGAUUGGGGUGAAGUCGUAACAAGGUAGC